CGGGGAAUAGCGCAAUUUGGUAGAGCACCUGAUUUGGGAUCAGGAGGUUACAGGUUCAAAUCCUGUUUUCCCGACCA
rnacentral:tRNA from 1 species